AUUUUUUUUCGAAUUCCUUAGAGGUCCAAUUGGCUUGCAGAGGAAGCUAACAAAGCUAAAAGCACUGAUCCCUAAAAUAUUGGUAAAGUUAGAUAAUUUAAUGAUGGAGAACACCAAGAAGAACACAGUUCGACGUCCUACAUUUAGUAAAUUUUUGUCAAAACUGAAAAUAAAAAACUAUUUACUAUAUUGCAAA